rnacentral:lncRNA from 1 species
CUGCUGGCCUACGCUACAGCCACAGCAACAUGGGAUCUGAGCUGCAUCUGUGACCUAUACCACAGCUUGCGGCAAUGCCAGAUCCUUAACACACUGAGUGAGGCCAGGGAUAGAACCUGUGUCCUCAUGGAUACUAGUCAUAUUAAUUUCUGCUGCACCACAAUGGGAACUCCCCCAAACUGAUUCUUUAUUUGUUUCUGUCCCCACAUGGCCAUCCUGAUUAAUAGAAGCUAGAAACCAAAGAUACUUACUAAUUUCCACUUCAUUCUCCAAGCCACCUUUUGAGCAGGCACUAGACUCUGCCCCAUCUCAUCCCUAAUCUGGGCAGUGGGCUCAGGCCCACCAAACUAUGUAGAAAAAGAAGGGGUGGGGGGAGAAUUUUCAAAGGGAAAUCAAGCUCUGACACCAAAAGAGAAGGAACCACAGAUGACCAGUGUAAUGACUUUAUCCAGCCCUCACUAAUUUGUCUUCUUCUGAAACAUUUGGGGUCAUUUGGACUCUAGAAUUAAUGCCCACGUCUUUGUGUUCUGUGUUCUUUUAUUUCCUUUAUUUAAGGCUUCCUUUCCUCUAACACUGGAAACUGUAGAAGGACCGUACUUCAUCUGGGAAAAAUGUGGUGCAUUCAGAAGGAACCAUACUUGUUUGAAACCAAAUGAAUAUGAGACCUGCACCUUCCUUUCCCAUUGUGGGUGUGCUACAAUUUGAAGGAAGCCAAUCACUUAUCCAUCUAAUUUAUGGAAGAUCUUGAUGUGAAGGGCUCUUUGUAGAUCCCAUCAGAGCUACCCAGGUAAAUGAGCAAUGACUGAUUCAAUUAACUGAUAAGAAUCUAUUACCACUGAUCCAAACUAUCUUAUUUGAACACAGAGCAUUAUGUACCAGUAACUAUCAGAGUGGCUGUCAUUUCCUUUUGAUGAAAUAGAAGAGCCUGUGUGUGUUGCAGCCCAGAAGGUGGCGCCAUACACAUUCAAGGGAUAAUUGAUUUUUAAGUGCCAGUGCACACUGCGGAUAGCAUUUCGUGAGAAAUUCCUCUAACUGGAUAGUUUGGAGAGCAGAAUCUACCCUUUUUGUGUCCAACAAGCCUUCCCCUUUGAGAAAGUCAAGGCAUUCACCCUCUACGUGUUUUCUUCCACUGUCAAGUUCGGUGGGAGAUUAGUGGGCAUGUGAGUUGGAGGACUUUGAAAUCCUGGCUUUGCCAUUCACAGACUGUAUGGCCCUGAAAAACCUUGGUUUUUCUCAAUAUGAUUUAGGAUUAAUAAGAACUCUGUCAUGAGGCUCUAAGGAUUAAAUGAAAUAAUGUAUGCUA